GGCUCUGUGGUGCAAUGGAUAGCACAUUGGACUUCUAGACAAAGCCAUAGAGUCAUUCAAAGGUUGUGGGUUCAAGUCCCACCAGAGUCA